rnacentral:rRNA from 1 species
UAACGAAUCUUCCGCAAUGCGCGAAAGCGUGACGGGGCAAUGCCGCGUGCAGGAUGAAGCCCUUCGGGGUGUAAACUGCUGUCGGGGUGCAGGAAAGAAAUGACCAUACCCAAAGGAAGCACCGGCUAACUCUGUGCCAGCAGCCGCGGUAAUACAGAGGGUGCGAGCGUUAAUCGGAAUCACUGGGCUUAAAGGGUGCGUAGGCGGACGCGUAGGCGCUUUGUGAAAUCCCUCGGCUCAACCGAGGAAUUGCUUGGCGAACCACGUGUCUUGAGGUUGGUAGAGGUCGCUGGAACGAUAGGUGGAGCGGUGAAAUGCGUAGAUAUCUAUCGGAACGCCAAAGGUGAAGACAGGCGACUGGGCCACACCUGACGCUGAGGCACGAAAGCGUGGGGAGCAA